rnacentral:rRNA from 1 species
UUUUACUGGCCUUUCCGUACAUUGCGCUCUGUCAUCGGCAGACGGGUGUACUACGCGGGGACAACGUACCUUUUGGUUCGGAACAACUCAGGUAAACUUCGGCUAGUAUCCGUCAUAAACCCUUACGGAGAAAGAUUUAUCGCCGACAGAUCGGCCCGCGUCUGAUUAACUAGUUGGUGAGGUAAUGACUCACCAAGGCGACCAUCAUUAGCUGGUCUGAGAGGAUGAUCAGCCACAUUGGGACUGACACACGGCCCAAACUCCUACGGGAGGGAGCACUGCGCAACAUUGCACAAUGGGCGCAAGCCUGAUCCACCCUUGCCGGGUGAGUGAUGAAGGCCCUACGGUUGUAAAGCUCUUUUGUGCGUGAAGAACAUGACGGUACCUCUCGAAUCAGCCCCGGCUAACUUCCUGCCAGCAGCCGCGGCAAUACCAAGGGAGCUAGCGAUGCUCGGAAUCACUGGCCGUAAAGGGUGUGUAGGCGGCUCUUUAAGUUAGGCGUGAAAUCCUGGAGUUAAACUCCAGAACCUGCCCUGAUACUGAACAUCUUCAAUUCCUUAGAGGUGAACGCAACUGCCAGUGUUCCGCCGGACAUAUUUACAAAUUCGUUAGAACCCCCACUGGCGAAGGGAGCUCACUGGGCCCGAGACUUACGUCUGAAUUCACCAAAAGGCAUUUGCGAGGCAAACCAGAAUUUCAGGUUUCCCUGGGUUAGUCCCAUCCGGGGCCAUACCAAUGAAAAGCUACGCCGGCCAGCGGGGGUUUUCACUCUCUUAAUUGGGGGGCGUCCUCA